rnacentral:rRNA from 1 species
GCUCAGGAUGAACGCUAGCUACAGGCUUAACACAUGCAAGUCGAGGGGUAGCAGGGUAGCAAUACCGCUGACGACCGGCGCACGGGUGAGUAACACGUAUCCAACCUUCCCAUAACUCGGGGAUAGCCUUUCGAAAGAAAGAUUAAUACCCGAUAGUACUUUAUUAAGGCAUCUUAAGAAAGUUAAAGAUUUAUUGGUUAUGGAUGGGGAUGCGUUCCAUUAGAUAGUUGGUGAGGUAACGGCUCACCAAGUCUUCGAUGGAUAGGGGUUCUGAGAGGAAGGUCCCCCACAUUGGUACUGAGACACGGACCAAACUCCUACGGGAGGC